CAGUUCGGAUUGUAGGCUGAAACUCGCCUACAUGAAGCUGGAGUUACUAGUAAUCGCAGAUCAGAAUGCUGCGGUGAAUGCGUUCCCGGGUCUUGUACACACCGCCCGUCACACCACGGAAGUUGGGGGCGCCCGAAGCCACUUAGCUAACCCAUUUGGGAAGCGAGUGUCGAAGGUGAAAUCAAUAACUGGGGUGAAGUCGUAACAAGGUACC
rnacentral:rRNA from 1 species